rnacentral:miRNA from 1 species
GGUUGUGUGGUUGUGUGUGU